rnacentral:lncRNA from 1 species
GGGACUGCCAGCUGUGGGAAGAAGCUACCCACUUCAGGUCUUCCUGACUUGUUGGGCCGACCUGCCUAUGGAAAGGGGCUACCCACUGCAGGUCUCCUGAUAGCUGUUCUGUUACUCAGUGAAGCUUCUCUCUGCCUUACUCACUUUCCAGUUGUCCACGUACUUCAUUCUUCCUGGAUGUAGGACAAGAACUCUGGACCUGGCAAAUGGCGGUGAGAGGUGUCAGCGUGCUGGCAGUCCUCACAGCCCUCGCUCGCUCUCGGCGCCUCCUCUGCCUGGGCUCCCACUUUGGCGGCACUUGAGGAGCCCUUCAGCCUGCCGCUGCACUGUGGGAGCCACUUCCUGGGCUGGCCGAGGCCGGAGCCGGCUCCCUCAGCUUGCAGGGAGGUGUGAAGGGAGAGGCGCGAGCCGGAACCGGGGCUGCGCGCGGCGCUUCCGGGCCAGCUGGAGUUCCGGGUGGGCGUGGGCCUGGCUGGCCCCGCACUCGGAGCAGCCGGCCGGCCCUGCCGGCCCCGGGCAAUGAGGGGCUUCGCACCCGGGCCAGCAGCUGCGGAGGGUGUACUGGGUCCCCCAGCAGUGCCGGCCCACCGGCGCUGCGCUCAAUUUCUCGCCGGGCCUUAGCUGCCUUCCCGCGGGAAAGGGCUCAGGACCUGCAGUCCGCCAUGCCUGAGCCGCCCACCUUCUCCGUAAAUCCUGCUGCUGCUCACUCUGGGUGCACACUGCCUUUAUGAGCUGUAACACCGCGAAGGUCUGCAGUUUCACUCCUGAGCCCGCGAGACCACGAAUCCACCAGAAGGAAGAAACUCGGAACACAUCCGAACAUCAGGAGGAACAAACUCCAGACGCGGCACCUUAAGAGCUGUAACACUCACCGCGAGGGUCCGCGGCUUCAUUCUUGAAGUCAGUGAGACCAAGAACCCACCAUUUCCGGACACAGCGGGACUAAAAGAGCUGUAACCACAAACAGGGCUGAAACACACGCCCCUGAUUGUCACUUUGCAUGUGAGGAGAAGGAGAGAAGAGCUGCGGCUUUUUGGGGAGCCCAGAUCUCGUGGCUCCCUGAGCCAGGUUUGUGACUCCCUCUUUGGGGCUCUGUGGUUCCUGGCAUCACUAAACUUCCAGGCAUCACCGUGCUCCCCUUGUCCAGACACGGUACCCGCAGCCUGCAUGCUGUACAUCUGGUCCAGCCUCAGUCUUUCACGGAGCUGGCACCUCUGCUGGCUCCUGGAGCUACCCACCCGCCACAGCAGCUGGCGAGCCUGGCUGUGUGCAGCGGAUGGACCCAGCACUUGCUUGCCCACGCAUUUUUCACCACUUCGUGCCUGGCUUGCUUUUGGCAGGUGUGGGAUCCCGGCCAGUAGCAAAAGCCAAGUGCAGCCUGCCAGACCCAGUAGGCAGAACAAGCCCAGCAGGCCAGAGCAAAAACUUGGGCGAAGGUACCACCAGCCACAGAGGUUUCCAGCUGGUGAAGUAACACCCCAAAGAUCUUGUGAUAUAACUGGAUGUAUUCUCAGAAAUACGGAACAUAUUUAUUCAGAUAUGGCUAAGCAAACCGGGAAACAAAACAAGAACAUGAUUAAAACAUUUUAUUCUCAAAAUUCUGAGGUCUCAGCAGACAACAUGCAUACUUGAAACUAUCAUGGUUCAAAUAAAUACACAAAUAAAUAAAUCAUUAUGGUGUCUGACAAUACUCUCAACUGUUGAAACUACGGGAUUUAAAUGCAACAUAUUAAGAAAAUGCUUUAUUUUUCUAAUAUCUCAACCUAUUGAAGUAUCUGGAACACUUUAAAGUAAUAUUUCUUAGUGCAAAUGUAUUCAUUUACGUAUACAGUUGUCUCUUGUAGGAUUUACAUGCGUCCCAUCCUCUUGAGGACACUAAAGGGAUCACAUCAGCGAAGUAACAGUGCUCUGUAAUCUCUUGGUUGUGCUCUGAAUGUGCACUUUGCUUUUCAUUCCAAAUAUCAGCCCCUCUCUGGAGGGGUAUAGGUACCUCAUUUUCUCCAUUCUCACGUAUUUUUUACUGUAAACGCCCAGGUUUCAGUCUUUUUCAAACAGAUUAUCACCUCUCAUUACCCUUGUUGGUUACAAUCAACCACAGAUGUCCUGGUUAUUUAACCUUUUUGUUAAAAUAUUCCUGUCAUAAUAUUUGGUAAUGUUUAUAUUCAUGUUGACAACGAGAGGAUAUCAAAGCCUCUGACUUCCUUAAUCUUUUCAGGGAGUUUUCCUCUACACUACCUCAGCAGUGAUAUUAUUACUAAGAAUUUUACCCAUAGCUGAUUCUCAGUUUCAAGCACCCAACAUUCCUAGUAACUACUUUCCCAUUUCUCUCCCAAAAGUACCCUGGCUACAUUUUUUUAACUUAAUAGAUGUGAAAAUUUAUUGAUUCUAACCAACAUUGGUAUUUUCUUUACCUGCCUCACAUGCUCAAUUUCCUUUCUUUCUCCAAAAUACAUGCCUGGAAAAAUGUCACCUUUAUUAAAUUGAUCGUUCUACUGUUUCAUUGGCUGAAUCUGUGCCACUAAAUGGGGAUGGAGAAAAACAAACUGAACUAAAUUAAAUGGUCUUUAAAUUUAUUACCCACCAGUGACUGCUGGGCCCUUACUGCUGUCUGAUAAUCCUACCAUAUUUUCUCAUUUUUCUCAAAACCUUGCUUAACUUACAUUAGCUCUACUAAUGAUUUUAUUGGUUCUUUUGGAUUCUAUGUAGACAAUAAUCCAUCUGUAAAUAAAUUCCAUUUUAUUUUAUUCAUUUCUAUACAAAUUUUAUUCUCUUUGGUUACUACUGAGGACUUCUAGUCCAUUGUUGUAUAGCAGUAGUGUGAGAGGACAUCCUUGCUUUGCUCCUGAUCUUAAUAUCCCAUAUUUUAUUUAAUACACUACAAUUAUCUUUCUUUCAUACAAUUCCACUGAAACUGCUAAUGAAGAUAAGCCAUGAAACACAUACUGCUUGUAUGUUUUCAGACUUUAUUCUUUUUAGAGCAGUUUUAGGAUCACCUCAAAAUCAACGGGAAGGUACAAAGGUAUUCCAUAUAACCCCUUCCCCUACACAUGCAUAGCCUCACCAAUUAUCCAUAUCCCCCCACCAGAGUGGUGCAUUUGUUAUAAUUGAUGAGCCAAUACUGACACAUCAUAAUCACCCAAAGUCUGUGGUUUACUUAAGGGUUCAAUCUCAGUGCUGUACAAUCUACGGGUUUAGACAAAUGCAUAAUCGUAUCUAUUCGUAAUUACAGUAUUUCCACUGUCCUAAAAUUUCUCUGUGCUCUGCCUGCUCAUCAUUCUCCUACCAACUCCUAGUGACAAAUUACUGAAACUUGUACUAUAUAUAUGGCUUUGUCUUUUUCAUAAUGUUAUGUAGUUGGAAUCAUACAGUAGGUAGCCUUUUCAGAUUAGCUUCUUUCACUAAGUAAUAUACAUUUAAGGUCUCUCCAUGUUUUUUUCACCACUUGAUAGCUUAUUAUUUUAAGCAAUGAGCAAUAUUAUCUGAAUGUACCAGUUUAUUUAUUUAAAUGGUUAGUACUCAGAUCUUUUGCCUGACCUAUUUGGAACACUUGAAUCCAUUAAUGACUUCUUUCUUUGGCUCUGCAAUAUUAAAUACUGCUAAAUUUUAUUAUCUAUUUAUGAGCUUUUUUAAAAAAAAUUGUCCUUGGUAUUUUCUCCUUAUCUAUUCAACUUUUGAAUUUCAAUUGCCUCAGGGCUCAAGCCUCAGGAUUCUUUUAUUAUUUGGACCUGUUUCUUAAAUUUUUCUCUCCUAGUUUCAUAGCUUCCAUAACAUGUAAAUACCAUCAAGCUAUAGUUCUCUAAUAUGUGUGUGUGUGUGAACACAUACACGCACGCACACACACACACACAGGGAAUGCAAGUCUAUCUACCAGAGUACAGAUUCAUAUGUCUAAAGAUGCAUGACACAUUUUCUUGGAUUUCUAAUAGGUAUAUCAAAUUUAGCAAUUCAAAAUUAGCAAUUCAAACUGAUUGUUUUGCAUUCUUUUCUACCUGAGGAAUUAGCAAUUCUACUAUUUCCAAGUUCCUUGGACCAACCAUCUUAAAGUCAUUUUUUAAUGCUUUGCUUCAAACAUGCCUUAUAGUAGAUUCUAUAGCAAAUUCUGUUUGUUUUACCUCCAAAACAUGCCAGCAUCCAAUGCCUCUCAACACAUCUGUUUCAAUCCCAUCAAUCCCAAUCAAGCCAACAUUAUCUCUACUAGAUUAUCUCAUAGCCGGCAAGCUGUUAUUUAUGCUUCUGCUUUUGAUUCCUCUUCCCAAUCCACUCCAAACAUGAUAGAGAGAUUGUAUUGAGUGAUGCUUCUGUCCUCCACUCUCAAAUGGCUUCCUAUUUUUUUUGUUUGUUUGUUUCAUAUUGGAAUGUUUAAAGUUGAAAUCCUCACAAAAGAUUUUCAGGUACUCUCUUCUCCCUUCCAAGAGUCUGACUUUAUUUCCUACUACUUCUUCCUUUUCACCCUCUGAUCCAGGCCCCUGAACCUUCUUUGUGUUCUUCUAACGUGGCAAAUACAUAACAGCGCAGUUUUUUGGACUUGCUAUUCCUGAGCCUUAAACAUUCUUCUCCCUGGUACCCCCACAGUUCAGGUUCUCAUAUCCUUCAGGUGUCUUAUCACCUGUUACCUUAUUUUUAAGGACUUCCUUGACCAUUCUCUUUAAAAUAGUAACCCUUUAUUUUAGUACCUUUUAAAUUGUGUUUUAUUUUCUUUAUAAAUAUAGAAUUUAAAAUGCUAUUUUUGAAAUUAUGUUCUUCCUAAGUAGGGUAGCUUUUUGUUUAUUUGCUCACUACUACAUCUCAACUGUGUAAUCGUUUUCAUGGCACAAAAAGAGAACCUGAUAUAUUUGAAUGAAUACAUGAGUGAAAGAGAAAUAUUUUUUCUUUUAUUUUAAAAGUUUUUCUCUGUUAUAUGAAUGUUCUUAUCAGUAACAGAUCAAUGUUAAUUGUUUUAGAAUAAGGUAGGGAGACCAAAACAGCAAAUUUAAUGUCAGAGUAACAAUGUGUAAAGAAAAGAGUCUUUUAUUGUGAAACAUAUUAUUACAUUGUUUCCUCUAUUUCUAAUGGAAAGUAUAUUUUUAGAAUAUUAAAUCAUUAUAAAGUAAUGAAAAUCAUUUGCAAGAAAUACAUAAAUAUAUGAUAAACACAAUCAUCUGAAGUGCUUCAAGUUUUAGAAAAUGCACUUUAAAUUAUAUAUUUUACUUUCAAGAAGAGAACAUUGUAGAUCAUUAUACUCCCAUAUUAAUAUCAGUUUAACCAAAUUUUGUGUGGACGAUGGCACAUAUGGCAAAAGAAUUUUAUUUUCACUUUGACAGCAACUGCAUUUAAAAAAAUAACUACAGAUAACUAUGUGAGGUGAAGAAUAUGUUAAUUAGCUUGACUGUGCUAAUCAUUUUACAAAGUAUACAUAUAUAUAUCAAAAUAUGUUAUACACCUUAAAUAUAGAUAAUUUUUAUUUAUGAAUCAUAUGUUAGUGAAGCUGGAAGUGUAAAAAUUAAAAGCUUCUACAGAGAAAAAUAAAACAAAAAACACAAGUUACUACAAACGCUUAAAGCUAGAAAUUACUACAUUAAGGUAUAGAAAUCGAAACUACUCACAAUUUUAGCAAAAACUUCACAUUUUUCUGAUAUGUAAAUUUUCAGUCAUUGUUCCUGAUCUACCCCUUAAUGUGCUUGGGUGGUUAGUUAUCAUAUAUUAAUUGUUUCAAUCAAAAUGAAACCCACAUGCUUAUUAAAAGCAUAGGUUACUCAUCAAAUUAAAAAUGCCCAUGAUAAUAUAAAUGUGUCUAGACUCAAGGUAUGCACUGCCCAAAGAUAAUCUGAAGACAUGAACACUUGAUACAGCAAUAAACUAUUUGGAAUGCAAAAAAAUAAAUGUGAAUGUUAUUUUUUUAUCCAAAUGGGAAACACCAGAAUAUAAAUUUUCUGCUUCAACUCAAAAGUGAUUGCCUCAUUAAACUUUAUACAAUAAUGUUACCUUCCAGUAUCUUUAUUAUUUCC